rnacentral:lncRNA from 1 species
UCAAAACUUAUUUUGAGUUAUUGAUUGGAUGUUAAGAAAAAUGACAAGUAGGUGUAGGACCUACUUCACAUUAAAAUGACCUCAAAUAGAAAUUUUGACUGCGCUAUUAAGCCCAGAACAUUGACUUUUAUAAGGUAUCUAUGUUUAUUUGCCUAUACAAGAUUCUGAAUAAAUCCGGAGGGUUUAGCGGAGACUUGAAAAAUUCCAAGUCUCAGCUGGUGUUGGUGAAUCGCAU